CACUGGAAUUUCUAACCUGCAUUUCUCUGUUUUCCUCUUUAAUCCCUGAUUGAAAGACCCAGCAGGUCCCAUCAAACUUACUUUUACGUGGUUGGAGAGCGUUUUGACAACAUCUUUUCCAGGAACGGUACAAAGAACUGGGCAAGGAAUAUUUUUUUUUCUCCUCUAAGUCAAACAAAUCAAAAUUUCUGUCCAGCAAAGAUUACCUUUGUGACUAACAAUGACUUGACAUCCAGCAAGUGCUAGAAACAUGUAUGGCCCAGAGAGAAAAUGAAGAAACAGAAACACGGACAACACAGAGAAGUUUGUCCCUUGUUCAAGUCAGAGAGAUAUUAAGUGCAUUCAAACCAAAGUCCUCUGAUUCCAAAGUGACCCUGUUUUUCACAUGUAAGUCAUUUAAACUUUCCCCCAUUUUAUAGUUGAAGAAUGUGAUAGAAAUGGAAAAUCAGUUUAGGGGAAACUUGGAGGAAUGAGCCCUAGGGAACCAGAAGGAUGACCCCUAUAAUACUUGGCAUUAAAGAAACAGAACUCUUUGUCUCUUCUUGAGCCAGCAAGAUCUAAUUCAAAGUCUAUUCCAAUUCUUUGAAAUACCAAUAUCAUUGGAAAAAGUAAAAUUGUUUUUGUUCCUUGGCCAACCUGAAAUGAGAUGUCUUCCAAAAUUUUUCAAGUGUUUAUAGAGCCUUUUGUAAUAGAGAAUUGUACCCUAGAAAUUGGAAUCAGAGACAUAUUUGGGGAUGAAAAUAUUCAAUAAUACAGGAAGAAUCCAUAAUUAAUUUCAGCCAUGGAUUUCCCCAAAGGCCUAAAUUGCCUUUUAUGUGAAAGAACUUUGCAUUCUUGUAGAGUUAUAUAUUUUUAAAUGAUCAUGAUACAGUUAAUGUAAAUAAAAUUCAAAGAUUCUGAGGCCA
rnacentral:lncRNA from 1 species